GCAUCGUGUUCCCGCAGGCCAUGGCGCCGUUUGCACUGGCGCUGGUGGCGGUGGGCUACCACCGUUCGGAGGCGGUGCGCGAAGCG
rnacentral:tRNA from 1 species